rnacentral:lncRNA from 1 species
CCUUGGCUGAAUGUAUUGUGAUGUCAGAAGGCACAGGUGCCUCCAGGCCACAGAGCAGGACAGACAGGGUUGGAGAUUGGACCACUCGUGUGUGGAUGAGAGCCCCUACUGUGUGCAAAGAAAUGAACUGAGCUCUCUGGCCUCACACCCUAAGCCCAACCCUGAUCCACUAAGCACUGGCAGCUUCAGGCCCACCACUGCUGGCCUCCCAUCUCUUUCUCCAAGCAACGGUGCCUGUGUGUUGAGCACUUCCAGACAAACACGCCUGCCAUGAUGGACCACAUUUCUGUGCAGAUGCUGAGUACACACCGUCUCCCACUCCCACGGCUGCUUUGCAAGGACAGUGUUAAUGAUCCUCACUUUGUAAACAAGGAAAACUGAAGCUCAGAAAGGAGGGAUGGAGGGCGGUAAGGUUGGGCAUCCUACACAUAUGGUGAUAUCAUUGAACAUUUUGUGUUGAAGAAUGAUGGAGUGUUGAACACAGAAUCAGAGAAUUUUACUUUAUUUUAUUUUUUGAGAAGGAGUCUCAAUCUGUCAACCAGGCUGGAGUGCAGUGGCGCGAUCUCGGCUCAGGGCAACUUCCACCUCCUGGGUUCAAGGGAUCCUCCUGCCUCAGCCUCCCGAGUCGCAGGGAUCACAGAUGUGCUGGAUGCUGGCUCUCUCCCCUGACCCCUGGACCUUUGCACUGGCUGUUCCCGCUACCUGGAACACAGUCUACAACACCACCUCCUUCUCUGGUUGAAGUCCUCUCUCUUCCUGUUUGCUCUGAGGACAGUUUCUGCUCACAUCCCUCCUGAAUAUCUGGGUUGGUGUUCCUUCAUUUACCACAGUCCCCACCCCAGCUGCUGUGCUUACCAUGUGACAGAGAUCACUACAUCAUGUGUGCCCGUGUGUUUGCCUGUGUCCCCAUCCACUCAUGAGCCACAGGAGGGCAGAUAUCGGGAUCAUCUUUUCUCUACUGAAUCCCUAGCACCCAGCACUGUGCCUGGCAGAGAAGAGUUGUUCAGCCAAGAUAUAUGUUGAUAAAUGAAUCAUAAGAUGUUAGAAUCACAAGCUUUUAGAGCCAUGGACUUGGUGAAACAGAAGCCUAAAGUCUCAGAAUUAUAUAAUCCUAGACUUAGCAUUAAUUAUACACAGAAACUGAGAAUCUCCGAAUCUUAGGAUCUCAAGGUUGAAAGAAUUCUUAUAUAGGCAUCUUGUCCAAGGACUAUCAGUGGAUUAGGAAAAUUUUAAUUGUGCCCUUCUAUAUUAUUUAAUGUAUAUUUUUACAUUUAUUUAUAUAAAAACUAU